rnacentral:rRNA from 1 species
UACAGAGGGGGCAAGCGUUGUUCGGAUAUACUGGGCGUAAAGCGCACGUAGGCGGCGCCGUAAGUCAGGGGUGAAAUCCCGGAGCUCAACUCCGGAACUGCCCUUGAAACUGCAGUGCUAGAAUCUUGGAGAGGCGAGUGGAAUUCCGAGUGUAGAGGUGAAAUUCGUAGAUAUUCGGAAGAACACCAGUGGCGAAGGCGACUCGCUGGACAAGUAUUGACGCUGAGGUGCGAAAGCGUGGGGAGCAAACAGG